UAAGGAAUAUUGGUCAAUGGACGCAAGUCUGAACCAGCCAUGCCGCGUGCAGGAAGACGGCCCUAUGGGUUGUAAACUGCUUUUGUCGGGGAAGAAACCCAUCUACGUGUAGAUGGCUGACGGUACUCGAAGAAUAAGGAUCGGCUAACUCCGUGCCAGCAGCCGCGGUAAUACGGAGGAUCCAAGCGUUAUCCGGAUUUAUUGGGUUUAAAGGGUGCGUAGGCGGCGUUGUAAGUCAGUGGUGAAAGUUUUCAGCUUAACUGGAAAAUUGCCAUUGAUACUGCAGUGCUUGAGUAUAGAUGAGGUGGGCGGAAUGUGUCAUGUAGCGGUGAAAUGCAUAGAUAUGACACAGAACACCGAUUGCGAAGGCAGCUCACUAAACUAUAACUGACGCUGAGGCACGAAAGCGUGGGGAUCAAACAGG
rnacentral:rRNA from 1 species